rnacentral:rRNA from 1 species
GCGCGCGCAGGCGGCCUUUUAAGUUGGAUGUGAAAGCCUAUGGCUCAACCAUAGAACUGCAUCCAAAACUAUCAGGCUAGAGUGUGGGAGAGGAAGAUGGAAUUAGUUGUGUAGGGGUAAAAUCCGUAGAGAUAACUAGGAAUACCAAAAGCGAAGGCAAUCUUCUGGAACAUUACUGACGCUGAGGCGCGAAAGCGUGGGGAGCAAACAGGAUUAGAUACCCUGGUAGUCCACGCCCUAAACGAUGAAUGUUAGUCGUCGGGUAGCUAGUCUAUUCGGUGAUGCAGCUAACGCAUUAAACAUUCCGCCUGGGGAGUACGGUCGCAAGAUUAAAACUCAAAGGAAUAGACGGGGACCCGCACAAGUGGUGGAGCAUGUGGUUUAAUUCGAAGAUACGCGAAGAACCUUACCUAGCCUUGACAUAUUUUAGAACACUUUAGAGAUAGAGUGGUGCCUUCGGGAGCUAAUAUACAGGUGCUGCACGGCUGUCGUCAGCUCGUGUCGUGAGAUGUUGGGUUAAGUCCCGCAACGAGCGCAACCCUCGUCACUAGUUACUAACGGUUCGGCCGAGGACUCUAGUGAGACUGCCUUCGCAAGGAGGAGGAAGGUGAGGACGACGUCAAGUCAUCAUGGCCCUUACGGCUAGGGC